rnacentral:lncRNA from 1 species
CCCCUGCACACGCACUCUUGCCUGCUGCCAUGUGAGACGUGCCUUUGCUUUCCACCAUGAUUAUGAGGUCUCCUGAGCCAUGUGGAACUGGAGCCACAAGGAGUGAUAACUACUUAAACUUCCAAAUGAAGUGGUUCAAAAUGUGCGGAGCACAGGAAGGAGUGGGAAGAGGUGAAAAAUGACUCAGAACAAGCUGCUCAUGGGUUGGUCCCCCCUGCUUCACCACCACAGGAAUGAUCCUGCACCCCUUUGGGGCACUCUGGCCAAAUGCCCCCAGCUCUAGGAGGACACUGAUGGCAGGACAUCCCCUGGACAUAUCUCCCCACACAAGGAGCUCUAGUCUCUGCUUGGUUUGUGAAAAAUUGAGUUUGGCACCAGCUUCUCUGGAUUUUGAAAACAUCUGGUGAUUAUGAGGAGAAGCAGCAAGGUGGAAGGAGCCUGGGUCCUGACGCCCAACAGGACUGAGUCUACUUCCUGCUACCCCAGGUGUGUGACCUUAGGCAGCCCAUCUCACUUCCCAGACUUCAGGGUCUUCUCUCCCUUACAGGGUGAUUGUGAGACUGAAAUGGCAUAAGAGAGAGUGUCUGGCACACAGUAGGCACAUGAUGAGUGUCUUCAUUCUUUCGUUUCUUUUCUUCUCUGUAUCUUCAAGUUUCCAGAGAAGAUUAGAAAUCAAUUGUAAAACUGCAUAGGACUCAAUGGCAUCAAUCAAUUUCUUAAAUUACCAUUAAAUAUAAUUGUCAGCAGAAGAGAGCCGAAAAACAUGCAUCCAGAAUCCAACAAAACGAGCUGAAUCUCACUCUGUGGACUGAUGGCAAAUUGGCUGAGUUCCUAUUCCUCCCUUUUUUUUUAAUGCUGCAGAGAUGAGGUAACACCAACACCCAGGCCGCAAAAGCAAAUGUCUCAAUGUAUUUGUUUUUCUAGUUUAAUCCAUUUCGACUAUGAAAGGCAGACUGUCAUCUAGAACAAAGUAGCCCAACGAUAAUUUGAGCUCAUCCACAACUCAGCUUUGGGAGUUCAACUCGGGACUCUUCUCCGUCUCCAUUCACCACCCAAACACAAAAGGAUAAACAGCAUGUUUCUACUGUUUAUUCCUUUUUUAUUUUUUUCUUUUUCUUUUUUUGUCUACUGUUUAUUUCUAUAUUAAGCAAUCAUGAAAAGAUCAUGGAGUUGCAGCCCACAUUUCUAUAAAUUGUAAUGAACAAACAUGAUGCCAGUAAAAAACAAACAAACAAACAAACAAAACUAAAGCAUGCAGGGAUGUGCUUCAAGUUUUGCCUCAAGACCUGAGGAGGAAGACACAAGUUUAUCCUCCACUGACAGUGAUAUUUCUGUGGGAAACAUUUGAAAAGAGCCAUGUGGCCAGUAGUCUCUAGUUUCUGUACCUGCAUCAGCCUUAGGAAAACCCACCAUCUGAAACAAGCUUACUGUGAUUCUCAACAUGGUGCCACAAACCAUCACUCCCAGAAACUCAUUAGGGCUUCUAUUGAGGUAUGCAGUGAAGGAAAGGAGUCACUCUGAGAGUCCCCAGGGAAUGUUCAACCAUAACCUUGGUGGAGGUAGGGGUAGGAACAGCAGGCAGACCAUUCAUGUUAGAACCAGAAGGUAGGUUGCAUCUCUUUCUCAUCCCUAUGUUAGUUUCUACAGGGCAUUGGGGUAGAAUGGUAUGGUAGGAUCUAUGCUGUACUAGUAAAUAUUUGACAAUCAGGUAUGAUGGGGGUGGGAGAAAGAGAGUCCUGAUUUAUAGCAUUUGCAGAUUGCUAUGGCUUAAAUACUCCCACCAUGGCUGGCUUGAAACUAGCACCAGAUGUCACUGGAUGCAGAAUUGGGAAGAGAUGAGCACCUCUGCCUCCAGCCCACUACUUGGUAGGCCCCUGGGACCUCCACUGCCUGCGGUUGUCAGUGGGUGCCGCCAUGUCACACAAGGGCAGAUGGAAGGCCUUGAAUAGACUUCAGGACACAGAUGGGGCACCAUCAUCUGUCCCUGAGAAGUCCCCCUACCCACCUUUUUGGACCCCUUGUGCUCCUCUCUUGUAGAUCACUUGUGAGGCCAUGGUGUCACCAUGUGUCCACAUGCCAGUCCUCCCAUAUAAACACAGGGCCCCGUUUUCAUUUCCAUUCUCCCACACCUGACGCAGUUCCUGGAAAAGCAGGCAUGUAAAUAAAUAAAUGUUUAUUGAC